UUUUUUUUUGUAAGGGUAAUACCGAUAUCACUAACCCAUUACUUUUUUGAAACACUCUCCCCCAUUUUUUUGUUAUUAUAUGCUUCUUUCUGCAUAUUAUAAACAUACAAUUUAUGUGUAAAUUGUGUGUAAAUUUUGUCAUUAUUUGUUUUAGUUUUUCAUUUAAAGUUUUUAAAAGGGUAAUACCAAUCCCACAAACUAAUUCCUUUUUAGAAAAUUUCCUUUUUUGCAUAAAUUCCACUCCUAUAUGUUUACUCUUGUACACAUUGCACAAAACGUAAUUUUUCUGUAAAUUGCAUGCAAUUUUUUCCCAUUAUUUUGUGCAUUAACUAAUUCACUCUCCAUUAGAAAACCUUUUAUUUCAUCAACGGGCUGUUGUUUUGCGUCGGCCCAAGAACUGUUGUGGGCUUCUAUUGGUUUGGGCUGUUUUCCACAAAAUCGACUGAUUCUAAAUUUGGGCCAGUCAAUUCUGUUUGUCCGUUUGAUCUAAAAUUAAGGGCUGAUCCAAAAAUCGGCUGACCAUAAUUCAUUUUAAGUCGACUAGCCAGCCCCAUUAUCAUACACGACAUUCUUAAGAGAAGACUCAAGUCACAAAAAUUUUAAACUACUAAGCAAUGUGUCCCACAGUGUCCACACCAAUCCUUGAGUGUUAGGCUAAGGAAGUGGUAAGUUUGAUGGAAAACCAAAACAAAAUUUAGAGAAACAUCUAAAAACGAAGCCCUUCCGCUGGCAAGGGCUGGCAUCCACCACGCUCCAAUGGCGCUAAGGCCGCUAGAGAUGAGGCAAUUACUCCCUCCGUCUCGCAAUAUACUAUAUAUGUUAUUACAUCCAAAAUAUACGGCAUAAUACAUGGCAUUCUUAAGAGAAGACUAAUAGGCUAAGGAAAUGUGACUUUGAUGGAACAGCACUAAGCAAUGUGUCAAAAAAAAAGUGUCCACAGUGCACACCAAUCCUUGAGUGUUAGGCUAAGGAAAUGUGACUUUGAUGGAAAGCACACAUAGGCAAGGGAUGCACCGGUAUCUGGACACGUGAUGGACCCAGUAGUAAAUAUUCCUUUGUGGAAGGCUUUGGUUAUACCUGGGUGGCAAAGCGAAGUUUCUGGUGGGUAGGUGUCUAAAACAACCCUCUGCAAGGAAGCACGCCCGUAUCAAUCCUUUAAUCGGAGACUAGACUAGCGUUAGGAAGGACAAAGGAGACAGACAGAAUUUACAUCAGAAAAAAAAGGACUUUUUGAAGUUUGAGUGAGGAUAAUUGUCUUAAAUUUCGGAGAAUCGGCUGAAAAAACGCGGAAUUGUCUUCGCCUUUGUAAGCGAAAAUGUCCAGUAAAGCCUAUCUCGCUUUUAGCCUUCAUGGUGAAUGGCCCACCCUUUCUUUGAACCUUGUCAAUGAUCGAACGAACUUACAGAUAUGAACUGAGUGCCAUUUGAUGAGUAAGAUCGAACAAGGGAGAGGGAUAUGGAAAGGAUGAAGUAAUGAAAGAGGAAGUCAUUGCUAGUAGUAACGACUUGUCACGAUCCAUUGGUUCAUAUAGAAUCCAUGUCCUAGGUCUAUCAAAAAACAUUCUUUUCGCUAAGCGUAUAUAAUAAAAUAGAGUGAAAGGGUCCACCCCGAAACCAAGGGGGUACUAACUAACAGCUGAGUCCUCUCCGAACCGCAGGAGAUAGUUGCCCAUCAUACGGCUCACCAACUUCACUUGCCUCUAAGGGGGGCUCGCUCCGGGCAGGUUCGGAUCACUUACUAUACACGGCCCUACGAAGGGGUUAGGAGCGUUUUCAAGAUGAUUCUUUCUUUGUCGAGACGAAAAAGGAACCCAUCUUUUCGAUUGAAAAAUGUGAGUCUGUUUUGCCCACUUUAUCCAUCCCCCUCUAUCAAAAUGAUCAAAAAGGCAUUUCAAAUGCUUCUUAUUCCCGUGUUUGAUCUUAUCCAUCUCUGCCCCGCUUCCAUGUGGGCAGAGACCCCUGUAGAGAAUGAAGAGGAGCCAAGGAUCUUACUCUCAAGAGUGCUUCGAUAGGCUCCACUCUCUCCCCUGAAUAAGUCAGGCUCCGUUAGCCUGGGCUGAGAUGGGGAUAACGAGUCGACGAUUGAAGCCCCCAACGUUCUGCCAGACACUGGACAGGGGUAAGCUCUGUAAAUGUGUAGAGCCAAGUGUAGUGUGGUGUAGUAGUAGGCACUUCUAGGCCCCUUCCCGGCUACUGGAUCACUCCAGUGCUUCGGGUACUACGGACCCUCUGCCAUCCAUUGCAGCAGAGCCGUUUCAUGAGCGGGGGGGCUAAGCGCAGUUCUUUGAAUCAAAGGUUUCAUGAAAUCGAAAUCGAUUCUUUUUUAGAUAUCUGGAUAGAUGGAUGGAUCUAUCUUUCUAUUCAGAUAUCUUUUGCAAUCAGCCCCAAAUCCUUGAUUUGGCCAGGAAACAAAGCACUGCUUUGGGCCCAGGAAGCGAAGGGAAUGAGCUCGGCUGCUUCUCCCCCACACUUCUUUAUUUCUCCGUGCCCCUUCCGCAUGCGCUUCGCGCGCCAUUGGCGCUUUGCUCUCCUCUUAUUUCUUCAUUGGAGGGUUCGGAUGGACUUCGCCGUUCUUUCCCAACGAAAAUGGAAAGGGCUGUAUCACAUCGAGAUGUCGAUUCGUUUUCCGCCCCAAAUGAGAUGGGGAAUUAGUCACCUCUGUCCCUUCAUCUUUUUGAAAGGAAUCGAGGCCCGGCCCGGCUCGCGUCGUUCCAACAACCGACGGGGAGCACCUCAGUAUACGAUCGCGUGCAGUAACUGGGAGUCCUAUUACACCUAAGGCCAACUUCCAUUCACCAAACCCAGGUUCAUCUCGUGUAGUGAUUGUGGACUCGUACAAGGAUAUGGAGUCGACGGUUGAUGUAUCAGACUCGACCCUGUCUUUCGUAGCAUGCAUUCCCAUCUGUGUUGCAACUGAUUCGGUAAGCUACGUGUCCGGUGCACGGAAAACUGCCUUCGGUCUCCCAACCUUACUCAUGGCAACCUUCCGGCCGCCCAACGACCUAUAACGCUAGUCACUACUCCCACUGGGGCUAGGAAGUAAGCCCCACAACCCAAAGCGGCGAAGAACAAAUAGAAUUUGCUACAAAAGCCGGCUAACGGGGGUAUUCCUGCGUAUGAGAACAUUGUAAUGGAGAAGGUCAUAGCCGAAAUAGGAUUCGUUUUGGCUAGAGCGCCCAAAUCCGCUAUAUAUUUGACACGGGUUUGUCGUAAUGCUGGAACUAUGGCGAAUGCAUCUAUCGUCAUUGAUGCAUAAAUAAAUAUACCAAUUAGUAGUGAUUGAAUUCCUUCUAUGGUUCCACAUGAGAAACCAGUACGAAUAUAACCUACAUGUCCAAUCGAACUAUGAGCUAGAGGUCUUUUGACUUUCGUUUGGGCCAUGGCGGCCAGUGCUCCUAAGAUCAUAGAAGCAAUGCUGCAGAAAAAGAAGAUUUGUUGUAAUGUACCCCCAUAGGAAGCAACAAUAGAAACACGUGACAUAUUUGCAGAAAUAGAGAUUUUAGGCGCAAUAGAAAGGAAUGCUGUCACCGGGGUGGGUGAACCCUCAUAGAUAUCAGGUGCCCACAUAUAUAGAGUCAAAAGAGAGAUUGAGUCCGAGGGAGAGGGGGGUUUUCUUGGGGCUCGAGAGAUUGAAUAGAUAGGGCCCCACAAGUUGUUAAUUCGCCGCUGGGGAAUUCACACAAAAGGGAAGGACUUAUUCUCAACGAAAAAAGUGCUCUCUGAACCGAACGUGAAAGUUGUUUUCCAUCAGACGGCUGUUCACGUAACUCCACUCUCGGCUUGGAUUAUAUAUCCAUUUGGUCCGCUCUCGGCCAUUCCACACGCUGCCUAGCAGAGACGUGGUUAUCUGAAGUGGAUUCUCUCUUUUGUAGUAGAUGCCGAACCUGCUGCUCAGUGGGCGGGCACAGCAGCUACAUGGACCCCUUUCUUUAUGUUGUUGCCAGCGCUUUCCCGGGCCGAGCCGGAAUUCUUUAUUAGAACGUCGGCAGGCAAAGCCCGAAGGAAGGCUGCUAUCCCCUCGGCCUUCUUCCUUUUCGAUGAAAAACAAAUCGACAUCUCAAUCUCCGAAAGCGUUUUCCUUACCCAGCUAAUAUCCCCCCCUUCGUCGAGCCUUUCCUUUAGUGGUAAGGGAUAUGCACCUUAUCUGAACGUCGGCAGGCAUUCCGGAAUUCUCCUUUUUUGGCCCCGGGUGAACAUAGGCUCAAACAUGAUUGGAGGGGUCCUAGCUACGCCAUGCGUUCAAUAAAAAAAAAGCAAGCCUCUGGGAAGCUGCAGGGAUUACAAAAAGAGGGUGCUUUCCUGUGUUGCACUGAAAAAAGGACAAAGGAGAAGACGCUCUUCGACUUUCUUUCUUCCUCCCGCGCCCGCCUAAGCCCGGCCCGCGUUAGAGGGGAAGAUUAGCAAAGCGGAAAAAGACAGAGGGAGGGGGAGCUGCAUCUUAUUCUCUUCGCGAGAACUUCAGGAUCGGAGAAGCAUUCGGAAGGGGCGAGGCCUUCAUUUCGUUGGCAGAAGCAGAAACGAUCCAAUCCAUUCGGGGCUUCGGGGAACCCAAAAACGAACUCUGUUUACUUUUUUCAUAGAUAGAUGAUAUAUAUAGGAAUAAUAUAUACAUCCCUUUACUUGAGAUGUCUAUGUAUCUAUUUUGGAAUCAUCUCCCGAUUCUCUUUUUUUUUCUAAUUCGCACUGCUCUUUCUCUCUAAAUUGCAUCAAAGAAAAUAGAGAGAGAGAGAGAGCAGAUGGAUCCUAUCCCCUAUAACGAACACUCAUUCCUAUCUAUUGAUAGAAAAGAAAGAUCUUCGUCACGGACUUUUUCUUUGUUCAUUUUUUUUUUAGAUUGGAGGAAUUCCUCAUAUCCAAGGCAGCUCCCCACAAACACCCCACCCAUAUGACUAUGCCCCCUUUUGAAUCGACAGUAUAGAUUAGGCUUCAUAGCUACUUUCAUUCUAAAGACGAAUAUUAGUCAAUAGGCAGGCUUCUUUCAGUAGCAAACAUAUUCAUUUUCACCGGGCUCCGCGCACCUUUGGUACUUCUGGAGGGCAAGCUGUUUUAUAGUGACUUCUUUCUUAGGGUAGGGCGACGAAUACUUCCAAUUCCGGAAAGGUCAUUGGGUCGCCUUUGGAAGCUAAAGCGAAAGUUGUAGAAAGCCGGGAGAAAAAGCGAAAGCUUGCUCGAAACGGCCUAUACCCUAACCCUCGGAAGCGAAGACGCAAAGCGUCACUUUUUUCAAAAGGAAGGAGUUUUUUCUGACUGAAUCCAUCCAUAAAGCCGCCAAGGAAACGAAGUUCGUUCCCUUUCAUCAAGUGGGUAAGGUAGGCAAACCACUUAAGCUUUGCCUUAGACUGACGGAACAAAGCUAAGAAGUAGGCUGAAUGGAAAAAGGAAAGGGACAAGGGCGGUCGUCGCUUGGCGCGAAGGCUGCUGGUUCGGUAUGGUACUAAAGGUCCUCGGACUUCCAGGCGGUUUUUCUUUUGGGCUGCUGUGAACCCUUGGAUCUCGCCAAUACAGCCUCCUAUGGUUUUCGUUACCGAGAUAUCUUUUCUUUUUUCCCAGGGAUUUUUUGGGUAAUCAGCUCCCAUGCUGCAAACAGUCAAAUCUGAACCUUGUCGCUCUUCUUUCCUCGUGGGCAGGAAGCACACCAGCAGCGUGCGUUGCGUGAUUCCACUGUGUUUUUUGCACUUGACUGGGUGGACAGUUGACCGGAAGAUAACUUCGAUUCGCCCGGCCAGCAGGCGGGCGGCGUGCUUAUCUUGUGUGACAACACUACAGAGCGAGUAGCUCUUCUAGUCGGGCAGCUGUGUGACAACACUCCUGAGAAAGCGGCGCUUUUGUGUAACAUGCUAUGGUCUCAACGCCCUUACGAGGUAGUGAUGAGUUUCACGCGCUCUAAGCCCGGCCCGCGCGCAGUUAGGAGGAUUGGCCGCUAUCUAAGCGGUACCACCCACCCUACCCUACUACCUAUAGGGGGCCGUCCGUCCUACAGCCGCCCGAAAAGGAACUGCAGUAAUCUUGAAUAGGAAUCCUACAGCGAUAAAAAGAAUCCCCAUAAAAAUACCACUAGAUCGAGCACCAGUGAUUUCGUAUCCGGUCAAAAUCUUGGCUAAUUGAUCGAAGUGGGUAGCUCCAGUAGACCCAUAGAUCAUGGAACAAAUAGGGUGGGUAGGCCCAACCACCACACUACACGUAUAGACGCGAACCCCCCUCCUUACCGUACGUGCGACUCUCACCGCAUACGGCUCGCACAAAGACUCCAAAAUCCAUCCCGAGCUUUUUAUUCCACCUCUCCCUCCUCUCCAAUCCUCGAUCAAACUAGCCUUCCCCAGCAAGAAAACGUAUCCGCUUUAGCAACAAAGCGCUCAUCCCUUGCUUGUUCUUGAGCGCGCAAGGCGCUCAAGACGGUGAUUCUUGCUUAAAAAAGGGCUAAAGCACUCCAGCUUCGAAGCUGGAGUUUGCAACUUCAAAACUACAGGUUUUAGCCCUCCUGCUGGGUGGGCGCUUCCUUCGUCUAUCGUAUGUCUCGCUUGGCUUCGUCCCGAACCAAGGAGGCAUGAUGGCGGGCGCGUGCGUGUGCCGACUGCAGAGACUACAAGCCGACGCCGGAAGCGACUCGCUUCUAUUCUCGAUUGGAUAUAGAUGGGGAAUCUCUAUAGAUCAUCUUUUUUCGACAACCUCUCUAAAAUGCAUACGAGAAAAUUGCACUUCACGGCACGGCAAAAAAAAAAGAGCUUCGCUCGGUUGGCCCUCCUAGGCUUCCGCCUACUUUCUCUUCUCUUAAGUCUACAACAAGUGGGAGAGGCAGGAUUCGAACCUACGUAGAAAACCUUCAACAGAUUUACAGUCUGUCGCUUUUGACCGCUCGGCCACUCUCCCCUUCCCGGGGAUACGCCCUCCUCAAACAAAGGGUUCCUGAAUAAGAAGGAUGGCGGUCUUCGUUCUUAAGUUAAGAAGAGCAGAUGGAACUAUUAGAUUUGCUAGCGUUCCGGGAGAAUAAAUAAGGUCAUUUAGUAAGUUCAUAACAAUCCAUUUAUGUAAAGCAAGGGGCAAAGCUUCUACGAUAGCUUCCCCCUCAUUGCCAUCGUCGGCCUUCCCCAGCUCCCCUCCUUCGUCGCUUCUGGCUAAGCAUCUUUCGGCGGAGGAAAGGAGGCGACUAGUCGCUUCUGGCGAAGCAGCGAGUUCAUGAGCAAGUGAAUGAACGAGCAGCGAGUGAAGUGCAACAGUCGUAAGUAAGGCUCGCCAUGUUCCUAAAAGGAGUGACCAUCUUUUCUUCCCUUCUACUGACACUGAGCGAGCAGCAAGCAUAGGCAAUAGUUUCCGUAGGGGUGGGGCGCAAGCAAGCGUUUUCAGGCUCCGCUAGCUAGCGUACUCUUCUGCUAUCAAUGAAACCGAAAGAAAAAACCAGUGCCCUUUCGUAUAGAUCGAGACGCAGUACUUUUUCUUUACUUCUUCCAUACUAGGAAGAAUGGAAGGAAAUCCUUCGAUAACACUUCUUCCUUAUUUGAAGAAAUGAUAUCUGACGCCCGUGGAAACUCUUUCAUUUCAAAAAAGUUCUUCUUCUUAAGAAGCAAAUAGCAUUUCCUAUUGAUUUGUCCCCUGGACUAGACCUAUGUAGAUUCGGAAUUAUCCGUCGCUACGCUGUUCCCAAGGACUAGCAAAAUCGAAAUAGCGAAAUUCUUGGGUCAUCUCAAUGGGUUCAGAAACCACACGUUUCUCUGGAUCAUCAUAGCGUACUUCCACAUAUCCACUCAGAGGAAAGUCUUUUCGUAAUGGACGACCCUCAAAACCAUAAUAUGUUGAUAUACGGCGUAAAUCCGGAUGAUUGAUGGAAGAAACACCAGACAUAUCCCAUACUUCUCGCUCCCACCGGCCGGCUGAUGGAAAUAGACUGACUACCGGAGAUAUUCGUGUUACUUCGUCUGCACUUGUUUGUACACGAAUGCGUGAGUUAUACCGAGUACUCAGUAAAUUAUGGACAACUUCAAAUCUUCGUUUUCGAGAGGGAUGAUCCACUCCGCAAAUAUCGAUCGAAACUUGAACCCUUGUAUAGGUAUGCCAUUUUAGAAAGCACAACAAUGGAAAUGGGUAGUCAGUAUUGGUAUAAGAUCUAUUCCCAUGUUCCGAUCUUUUCAUUUUAUGUACCCAUUUCUUGGGUAAAAUCUCCCAACUAUAUUGGAAAAUGGAUUGGUUAUCCAUAAAUGAAAAUAAAGAAAGCUUUAUUUUGGUUCCGCUUCUUGCUCUAAGCAGAAAGACUUCUCGGAAAUCGCCGGUUGGGUUGGUCCGACCAAGAAAGGCAUGGGAGUGGAGAGGCAGAAGUGAAAGACUGGCUACCAAUAAAGAUCCAAAACUGCACACACACUUUUUAGAGUUAUGUAUCCAGGAUCGACUGCAUGCUCUAGUGUUGAAUCGGGUAUAGAACCCAGGAUGCUUGGUUACAAUUCCGAAUCCGCUAAACCAUCGCUCGGGGAAAAGUAUUAUACAGAGCAUUAGUACUUAUUCUGAUCCUUUCCUUAUAUUUAGAUUCUAGUAGUUUAUUUCAGUCGUAUUCGUAUCCUUACUGCGGUUUUUUAAGGGUAACAAAUAAAAGUAUGCAGGUUCUAUUUUAUUGUUCCGAGACAUAUGAUGAUAGCAUUGAGAAUGAGAAAUCUUUGCAAAAUGCACGUAUUAUUAAGGAGUUCUGGAACGAUUACUACGCUAAGCUGUUGGAUAUUGACAAAACGAAAAAGACUUCUAAUGUUGAUAUGUAUCAGGAUGAUGUUAGAAAGUUGUUGAUUAAUGAAAAGAAGAAUCAAAAUGGUGUGUUUUCCGAUACUGAAUUAAUAGAUUUACAGAAUCAAAUUGCAAAUUGCACAAUGAAGUUCGAUGAGGAUAAUCUAUUUAAAGUAACUCCUAACAUAGUAAAGUUCUUGAUUAAUAAAGAUCAGCCUAACGCUAAGCAAUAUCUAAAGGGUUGCCUACCAAGUAGCUUACCUAUGCUUAAGAUGUUUGGUAUCUAUACGCUUGAGGCUAUCAUGAUUCAUGUACUAGGCUUGGUAUUCAACACUCUUCAGGAAUCAUCCGCAGUUAAGGCAGCUAGAUUUAUAGAUCAACUUAAUUCAACUGUACGAGAACAAGCAAGGUUUCUACAAUACAAAGCACCAGGUAGUGGUAAGGUGGAAGCAGUACUCACUAGUAAGGUAGAAUCAGUUAAGGAUGUUGUUCAGCCCAAAGGUGCUAGCAAAAAAGAGAAAAAGAAAAAAAUGCAGUGUCAUUAUGAUAUCGGGAAAUACUUGCUCCAAUUCAUGAUUGAAAGAAAUGUUCUACAUAUAUCAACAGAUAGGGAAAACGGCAAGAAAGGAACCAUGUCCUUGCUUUCUUGCCCCCAAGGCAAAAGGAAAAAUACCACUCUACGCAACCUCGAUGCCACGUACACUACACCCAUCGAUUCCGACCCUUGGAAUACAUAUAUCUGCAUAUAGAAACACGUAACACAUCGCCAUCACAUACACGGCGGCAUACCAGGCCCUGUCCGGCGAGCCAUGGACGUCCCCGGCGGCCGGGCGUACGGGGAGGAGCAGGAGGAGGAGCUGGACCCGGCGGUGGAUUGGAGGCAGGCCGGCGACGACCAGGACGUGGUGGAGCUCCGGCUGCCGGGGUUCCGCAAGGAGCACGUGCGCGUGCAGGUGGACAACUACGGCGUGCUCCGCGUCACUGGCGGCCGCCCCGCCCGGGGCGGCCGCUGGGUCCGCUUCACCAAGGACCUCCGCCUCCCCGACAACUGCGACGCCGACGGCGUCCGCGCCAGGUUCGAGGACGAGAAGCUGCUCAUCAGCCUCCCCAUCGUCCCCGGCGGUGAGGCGGACCUGGUACCCACGCCCACGCCGUCGCCCCCGGAGACACUGCCGAGGCCGGCGUUGCAGCCGCCGCCGUCUUCGGCGCCUCCUCCUCCACGCUUGCCUCCGCCUCCCGGGAAGCCCAGCUUCUUCGAGCCGAAGAUCCGGCCGCCGGUGCCGCCGCCACGGGCGCCAUCAUCGCGUUCACGUCCACUUCCUCCGUUUCCGGCUGAGCCCCCCACGGUUUCCGAGCCAAAGCCGCCGCCGGCGAAGCCCGCUGCUUUCGAGCCAAAGCUCCGACCGCCACCGCCACCGCCACCGCCUCCAUCACCGCCGCCAAUAUCACGCCCACUUCCUCCGUUCUCGUCUAGGCCCCCCAGCUUUUUCGAGCCAAAGGAACCGCCGCCGGCGAAAUCCACUGCUUUCGAGCCAAAGCNNNNNNNNNNNNNNNNNNNNNNNNNNNNNNNNNNNNNNNNNNNNNNNNNNNNNNNNNNNNNNNNNNNNNNNNNNNNNNNNNNNNNNNNNNNNNNNNNNNNNNNNNNNNNNNNNNNNNNNNNNNNNNNNNNNNNNNNNNNNNNNNNNNNNNNNNNNNNNNNNNNNNNNNNNNNNNNNNNNNNNNNNNNNNNNNNNNNNNNNNNNNNNNNNNNNNNNNNNNNNNNNNNNNNNNNNNNNNNNNNNNNNNNNNNNNNNNNNNNNNNNNNNNNNNNNNNNNNNNNNNNNNNNNNNNNNNNNNNNNNNNNNNNNNNNNNNNNNNNNNNNNNNNNNNNNNNNNNNNNNNNNNNNNNNNNNNNNNNNNNNNNNNNNNNNNNNNNNNNNNNNNNNNNNNNNNNNNNNNNNNNNNNNNNNNNNNNNNNNNNNNNNNNNNNNNNNNNNNNNNNNNNNNNNNNNNNNNNNNNNNNNNNNNNNNNNNNNNNNNNNNNNNNNNNNNNNNNNNNNNNNNNNNNNNNNNNNNNNNNNNNNNNNGUCGUUUCCACCACCACCACCACCACCACCACCCCCUCCUCCUCCUCCGGCGAGGCCCACUUUCUUCGACCCAAAGCUCUGGCUGCCGUGGCGGCAUUCAGAUCACGCUCGAGACACCCCUCCCGAGCCCGCAUUAACAAAGCCUCCCGCCACCGCCGAACGGAAGCCCUGGAUACCUCCGGCGAUCGUUCCUGGCCCAAGGACGGCCGAGCCGGAGCACGGGCCACCGCCAUUGCCACCUCCAAAACAGAGUACAGCCACUCUGCCUCAGCCUAAGUCACCCCCGCUGUCAGAUAUACCAAUCGGCGUCUCAUCUCCAUCGCCGCCUCCACCACCACCACCACCACGGCCGCCUAGUCAUCGUCUCCCGGAAGCAAAGGCGAAGACGAAGAAGAAGCAUCGCAAGGUGCAAGACGAAGACGGCAAGGUAAGGUUGCCACUGCUGGAGAAGAUGAAGAAGCAAGAGGAGAAGAGGAUGGAGGACAAGAAAGCGAGGGAGGCGGCGAACGGUGGAAGACAGCCGACUGAGCACGAGGAUUGGGACGUGUCACCAAAGCUGCUGCCGGCGAGCGAGGAUCCAGGGACGCCGCCGACGACGGAGCUGGUGACGAACAUGGCGGCCGCGGUGGUGGUGCUGGUGGGGAUCGCGCUGUCAGUUUGGCGCACCAUGAGCAGCAGCUAGCAGCUCCUGCCACCAUAAGGCUAAUGAGUGCACACUGUUAAUUAUCUGCUGAAGUUAAACUUACUAACUAAUUGUACAUGUACUGUACAAUGUAAAUAACCGUGCACUGUUAAUUAUCUGCCCAAGUUAAGCUACUAACUAAUUGUACAUAUAUGUACAACGUAAAUAACACAUGCAAUCGUUUAUAUCAGACUUUGUUUGAUCUGCAAGAGACAUAAAGUUUAACACUCAGCAUUGCUAUUUACUACUCCCUCCGUAAACUAAUAUAAGAGCAUUUAGAAUACUAAAGUAGUGAUCUAAACACUCUUAUAUUAGUUUACAGAGGGAGUACAUGCUUGGACUAGUUGUGAACUAACAUGGACCGGCCUAUAAUGUUGUAAAUAAACUCGAAAGUUAGUCGUUCACUUAUUCCUGCUAAUUUCAUUGGUUGUUGUCUUCAGAUGAGCAGGUUCCACCUCCAGCCAAUGCCGAUGCCAAUGCCACUUCCAGUUGCCUAAAAUUUCGGCAAGUGAUCAACAUAAAUACAUUUGUUAGAAUUAACCGCAACAUGGAAACAAUGAAAUAAAAAUGCAAUGGUACCUCUUGGUGAUGAGCCUUGAGCUUCCACUCGGCAUGGCUGUCAAGGAUUUGGACUUGGGAUGGGUUCCUAUUGCAGUUGCAGCUGCAGCUCCAGAAGGUCCGCCUCCAACCAUAGUUGAUAGUCUGUCCAAUAAGAAAUUCGUGGGAUAAAAUAAAUGCAAUAUUGCAAGAAAUGUAAUAACAAUAAUACCUUUUGAUAAUGGGCUCUAGGGUUUCAUUCCCUAGGGUAGGCAAGGGGGCAGGCAAAGGCACAACUCGAUCCAAUGCACUUGCUGGUGUGGCUCGCAGAUCCUCCUUGCUUGGACCUACUACAUGACAAUGCCAUGAGACAGCCAACAUGAAACUAUAAUGAUGCAAUAAUGUAGGGAAAAGCUAUCUAACCUUCUUUGCUCGCAAAAGUAAAUCCACCUUUGCGUGGAUGCAAGACGCCCGUAUGAGAGGAGCACCUCUUACAUGUAGUGUCAACAUCAUAAUCAUCUAAAGACAGAUCGAAGACAUAUCAGAUUCGUUCCUAGUUACUAAAGACUAGUGAAUAACUUUGCUUGAUGGCAUACAAACGAGAAGAAGAAGAAGAAGAAGACGAAGAAGAAGAAGAAGAAGAAACCUAAUUGGUUAAAAUUCAGAACGCCUGCAGCUAGCCGGAUUGGUGGUUGGUCGACCCGUUGCUCUGCGGUCGCGUGGGAACUGGGCAGCGGCCGGCGGGUUGUGGAGUUGGACGGAGCGUCGUGGGCCAGGCGAGGCGGGGUUAUAACAAGGCAAGGGUCUCCGUCUCUGUUGAAUUGGAGCCGGGGUCGGGGUCGGGGUCGGGCCCCAAGUCUGUUGGAACGAAACCACGACUCCUUGUUCGGCUUCAACUCAAACACAGGUCUCGCCGUGUCUCGCGUCUGUGCGUGUUACGCGGGCGUGUUCGAGCUAACCAAUCACAGUGCGCGCGCGACGACGAAGCGUUUUUUCUUUCAUCAGUCCUGAGGUCUACAUCCCGGCGUCGUUACGUUGGGCUCUUAUAUAUGGUGUCUAUGCAUUGGAAUCUUGCCUGCUGGCCCCGCAGCAGCAGCAGCAACAACAACAAUAAUCAUCAUCAUCAUCAUCAUCAUCAUCUUGACUGCUGAUUAGAUUGGAAGUUCCUGAAGAUCGUGCAAGUUUUCCGUCCCAACGUUGUCUUCUGCAGCGGUCGGUGUUUUGUCCCGACGUUGGUUUCGCCGGCGAUCGGUUUUUCUAUCCUGCGGUGCUUGCCGCCCUCUCAGCAAGGUUUGCAGAGUCUUGAUCUCCGUCCACUCUACUCCUUGCGAAUUAGGGUCUGGACGUACGUCGGUUUGGCUGGUGUUUUUUGGAUGUUCGGAAGAUUAUUGUUGAAGUAAUCAUAGCCGGGAACAAUGAAGCUUGUAUUAAGUUGGAAAAAUUGUCGGGGCAUCUUAGGAGCCCCGAGAGUCCAUUCGCUUCUAAAUAUUCAGAGGCGCCAUGAACCAAAUGGGUUUUUUCUCUCCGAAUCGCAUUUGGAUGAAGAAGGGGCAGAGGGUUUGAUGAAGAAACGGUAUAUGGAUCAUAUGAUCAUCGUUGCUCUGAGUCUUGAGGGAAGAAAGGGUGGUUUGCUAUUAGUCUGGAAGAAGGAGGUGCCCGGACUACCACCUUAGAUUUCAUCGGUGUUUCUGUUGUUGCUGGUCGUGGUUGAAAAAUUGCCUAAUAAAAUUAUAACACUGAAACUGGUUGAAACUUGGUUUAAAAAAUCAUGUAUUUGAAAAAUAAUGUAUUUGAAAAUAAGUUAAGAAUCCCGCAAAAAAAAGUUAAGAAAGGAAACAUAAAAAAGAAAAAGAAAAAAGAAAAACCAAAGGGAAAAUAGAAAACCGACUAAAAGAAAUUCAAAGAAAAAGGUCGCAGAACCUUUUUUUUAAGAAGUAGGACACAGAACCGGGUGCUCCUAAUCCACGCUUCAAGCGCCCGUUCGCACACCGGCGCACACGUAGCCGGUUAGUUGGGCCAGCCCAACAUUCCUCCUGGCUUGACGCUUAGUUCGCAGCACAGUUUGAUAGCACAACGAACUAUAGCAGCCUGUAGCAUCACUCGGCUGUAGCGCUUUUUCUGUGGACAGCUCGCCUGUAGCAUUGAUCCCUUUUUUCAACCAACUGUCGCGUUAGCAUUUCUAAAAAAACUGGCUCAUUCACUUUGUUUCAAAAACUUGGAUCUGAAAAAGGUUCCCGAUUACGGAAUAAAAGUUCAAAAUUUUGAAUAAAGUUCAUGGAAUUCAGAACAAGUUCAUAGAUCUUUCAGGAAAAGGUCCAUCGAAUUUGGAAUAAAUUCCAUCAAUUUUGAAAAAAGUUCAUCGAUUUUGAAAAAUAUGUCAUCAUCUUUAAAAACCUGUUCAUCGAAUUUGAAAAGUUCAUAAAUUGUGAAAAAACAAAUCAUCAAUUUUGGGAAAAACAUCGAAUUUCAAAAAAAGUUCAUCGAUAUUGAAAAAAAAUCAUCAAUUUCAAAAGUCAUUGAUUUAAAAAAAAUUGCAAGUUGAUUUUUUUUCAUCAAAUAAGGAAGAUGGAAAAACAGAAAACGAAAAACGGGAAAUGAAAAGAAGGAGAGUUAUGUAACUUAUCAGAUCGGGCUAAGAGGCAUUGUGGUUAGUCAAGCGUAACUUGAUGCGGGACGUCCCUGGUUUGAUUCACUCCACAUGCGUGCUUUUUUGCGUUAUAAGAAACAGAUAACAAAAGAGGAGUUGGGCCGGCCCAUUGCAGGAGGGCUGUGUGCACCCGUUUGCAAAUUGCAUACAAACGGGCGCAUGAAGCGCCAAAUAGAAAACACCCACAGAACCUUCCUCGGACUACCUAAACCGGAGUACCCAAAAACGUGCUAAAUGGACCGACCCGCUUCAAUGCUCCCAAAAUCCUAUUCUGUUAACCCGUGCACAUCCCCACUCAACUUUAUGUCCGGAGUACCAUUUAGCUUUUUUUAUUUACUGUAAAAAAGAUAAAGACGAAAGGGGAGUUGUGUCGGUCCAGCGCGAGAGGGCUGUGUGUACCUGUUUUCAAAAUGCAUACAAGUGGGCGCAUGAAGCGCCAAACUGGAAACACCCACAGAACCUUCCUCAGGCUUCCUAAACGGGAAUAUCCAAAACCAUGCUAAAUGGGCUGGCCCACUUCAAUGCUCCUAAAAUCCUAUUUUCUGUAAACCGGUGCACACCUCCACUCCAUUUUGGGCUCAAACCAUUUAGCUUUUUUCUUUACUUCUCGACAGGAAUUCGGCCAUUCCGAAACACAUGCAUCGCACGUGAAUGGCCUGGCCAAUAUAACAGUCACUUUUCUUUUUUCAUAAAUGUUUUCCCAGUUGGUUUUGGGAAGCUUCUACAAUUUUUCGUAUUCUUUAUUUUCUAUUUUGAUUUUCCUUUUUUCACAAGGAACAAAUCGUGAACUGUUUUUAAAUCAUUGAUCUUUUUUCAAAUCCAGUGAAUAUUUUUUGAAUGUAUUACUUUUUUCAAAUGCAUGAACUUUUUUCAAAUCCAAGAUUUUUUUUCAAAUGCAUGAACUUUUUUCAAAUCUGUGAACUUUUUCAAAUCCAUGAUUUUGACAAAUGCACGAAAUUUUCUGAAUUCUAUGAACUUUUAAAAUUCUGCAAAUAUUUUUUGAAUGCUCCCUCAGAAAACUAUUUUUUGAAUGCAUGGACUUUUUUCAAAUCCGUGAACUUUUUCAAGUUCAUGAACUUUUCAAAUCCACAAAAUAUUGAACUUUUUCAAAUUUGUGAUAAUAUUUUAAAGGCGGCCGCUACGCGUCGGCCGGUGGUUGUUUUGGAAACAUCCGCCGCAUGUACCACCGUCCGAUACGCGUCCUGACAACCAUCCCAUCCAACUAUCGCACGCGUGACUAUUCCUGCAGCAACCGCUCUAUUUCAGAAACAAAAAACCAUGUCCGCCAUCCAGACACACCUGCGCGCAGCGCGGCGCCAGCCCCCGCCACCGUGAAAACGCUGCUGCCGGGGCGCUACAGGGACUGAGGCCGUCGACGGAAAAUCCUACAGCACAAUGGCGCACCAAAUCGCGCGGCGCACGCUGGGAUCCGACGCAAAUCGAGCAAGCCGCGGUCCUACUUCAAGGACAGCCGUGGCCGUCGUUCUCAGCUCCGACCGCCGUCGGGGGGCUUCCUUCGACAAGAUCAAAUCAGGGCAGCUGGGUAAGUUUCCGAAUCUUAAUCCCUGAGCUGCGUGUCACUGUAACUGCUGUAGAUCCUAUUUAUCAGAAGAGGGCUGUUUGGAUUCAUGCGUGUGGCAGCUAAAAAAAGUUUUAGAAUUAUGUGGGUGAAGCCAAGGCACAACCCUAAACCCCUGCCCCCUUCUUGUAUCUCUGCAACAUGUAUCUGAAACAUCUCAUUUUUGUUGUUUAUCAACAGAAGAAACACAUAGCUAGUUGUUGUCUCUGGUUUCAAUUUUGUUUAUGAAUGGCAUGGAUUGCAUGAAUUUUUGAAACAACAAAAUACAACUGUUGAUGCCAUGUAUCUAUCUAGGCCAUGUAUCUAUUGAUGCAUUGUAGAUGAAAUUCUAAAAUUCUGGCAAUUCUGAAACAACAAAUAUAACUCUUAAUGCCUUGUAGAUAAAAAAAGUGAUUGUUGCACAACAUCUGCUAUAUUUUACAAAAAUAAAAACUUGUGCCUCAUUUCAGGAAGCUGCGACUGAAGGGGAAGGGAGCUAUGUCCAAGGGAACUUCUCUGUCCAUGAUAAUGAAGAUUCAGAUGGUUUGGUGCAUGCUGAUGAUGCAAUGCAAGAUGAUUCAGAUGAUGGAGAUGUUUCGUCGCAGCCACUACCACCCUAUGUUGGCAUGGUCUUUGACACAAUUCAGGAUGCAAAGAAAUUCUACAAUGACUAUGCCUUCAAGUUGGGUUUCGGGACACACAUAUCUUCAACAAAGUACAGCCAGAAGAAGGGACGGAAGCGAGAGGAUGUCGUAAUGAUCAAGAGGGUCGUUGGGUGUGUGCAUGCUAGAACAGCUGAUAAACCUGAAACAAGUAGCACAUCGGAGAUCAUUGCAACAGAAGCAAGCAACACCAGCAAGCGGCUUGUGUAGACAUGUAGACCACUCAAAGCUGCGACAGAGGCAGUGGCAGCACCACAUAAAUGUCAAUUUUGCUCAGAGGUUGGACAUGCUGUACCAAAAUGUGUGUACUUGAGAGCGGUGAUGAAAAAUGCUCCGAGAAGUGCCCAAGCAAUGCAACUCAACCUAUAGGAAAAAAUGCUCCAUAAAAUGUUUUCGAUUUUCUUUUGAGCCUCACAUUGUGCUUGAGGAAAAAACAUUCAUAGUUUCUAUUUUGCAACAUUGAUGAUGCAUUUAAGAUAUAUUUCCAUUUUGCAAAAACUAUGUUACGGGAAAACAGAGGAAAUAAAAAGAUCUCAUAUUCUUAUGUGUGACUGAAAUUGAUACCUAUGUGUGCCUGAAAACAGAGGAAAACAUAGCACUAUCCUGCAAGAAAACAGGCAAGAAAGGCUCACAUUUUGUAUCUUGAAAUAGUUUUGAAUUUGUUGUUUUCUUCAUUUUGUCCUUCUUACAAUAUUUUUGUUUUCAUGUUACGACAAAACAUGUUUCCAGUACUUGAAACAUCUUGUGUAUUGAACAGUUUUUUGAGGUCUGAUCCAGAACAUGAAUGAUGCUUUCAGCAUAUGUGGACAUAUUCCCAGUAUUGCUAAGCACAUUUUGUCCUCCCUCGAGUAAUUUACAUACAUACAUGAUGAUGCAAGAUGGUUUCAGUUAAAAAAAUGAACUGUUUCAACAAUAUAAUCCCAGUAAAUAUACAUGGCACAUGAAGUGUGAUUUCACUGUUUCAGCACAAAAAAACCAAUGAAAACAAAAAUAUACCAAGCUGCAAAAAAUGCCUGUCAUUUUCAUUACCAACUCUCCAUCAAUCUCUAGUUCACAUUCACAUGGGUCAGCAUGAAUCAUCAUGGAUGAUGCUCCAGCAUUUCAAAACAAACUAAAAAAGAAAAAAAGGACAUGCCCAGCAUGAUAGAUGCUCCAAUCUUGAGUUCCACAAAAAACAUCUAGGUAGCUCCAGCAUGAUACUUGUUGUUUUCAGUUACAUAAAUGGAUGUUUCGGACACAUGGACUCACAAAAUAAAAAGUAAAAACUAAGCUAGCGAGCUUCUGUUCCGAUUGUCAUCUUCUACGAGCUUCUCGGCAGUUUAUGGAACUCUUCGGCUGAGUUGAGAGUGUUCUGAGGGUGCUUGAAAAGCUUCGGUGAUACGAAUGUCCGAAAAUUGAGCAACGACCUCAUGUCCUGAGCAUAGAAAAGGCAGAAAUACUCCCUCCGGUCCUUUUUAGUUCGCAUAUAAGAUUUGACUGAAGUCAAGCCUCGUAAAGUUUGGUCAACUUUGUAGAAAAAAAAUGCCAACAUUCACAGUUUGAAAUCAAUACCACUAGAUGUGUCAUGACUUAAAGUUUCAUAUUAUAUAACUUUAGCAUAGCAGAUGUUGAUAUUAUUUCAUAUAAAUACGGUCAAACUUUGUGAAGUUUGACUUCAGAGAAUUCUAAUAUGCAGAGUAAAAAGGACCGGAGGGAGUACAAAAAAAACAUGGAAACGAUUAAUAUUCCGCGCAGCUGCUUUGUCGACCAACGAGUUUGGAAGAUAGGCAUGCUGCAAAACAAGAGCAAAAAUGAAAACAUGGAAACUAUCAGCAAUGCAUAUCUACUUAUCAGAUAAUGAAAAGUAUUGAAGCAAAAGUUGAAGAUUGCAUAUAUAACUCUGCAGAUAAAAUGCAGGUUUGAAAGAACAUUAGUUAAUCCAACUAACUUCAGAUAAACAUGAGCUAAAAAAUCAUGGAAAAGUAUUGGAACAGUAGCUAAAUUUCAGAGAAAAGAUAUAUAUAGUUUAAGAAGCAAAAACUGAGUUCCCUGUGCUAUAAGCUAGCAGUACAAACAUUCCUGUAGUUUCAGAAAUAUAAGCUACAAACAUAACCUACAAACUAGUUUCAGAAAGGUAAGUUUCUCUAAAAUUUAGCUAAUGUUUCUCUGAAAUUACAUAUAUGUUUUCUUCUCUCUCUGAAACUACAUAUAUGUUUCUCUGAGACUACAAACUGAAUAACUGCAUGAGAUACAGAAGCUUUGAACUAAAAAGAAAAAUCCUGCAUCACUAGUUUCCUGUAGCACAUCAAGUCUGUACCACUAAUUCCGUACAGCACAUCAAAAUCUUGCAUCACUAACUUCCAAGUAAAAAAAUGCUACAGAAGUUUUGAGCUACAAACAUUCAGAAAAGAUAGUAUCAGCUACAACACAGCAAGGGGAUAGCAUGAGCUCCAGCAGCGUAUUCUAAAAGUCAAAUAAACAAUUCUGCAACACUGGAUGUGCAACACCCAAAUCCCUAUUGCACAUCUACCAUCUACACCACCUAUAUCAUCUACACCAUCCACCUCGGCGCCGACGACGAGAGCAUCUCCUUACAUCAGAGCACCGCUACGAUGAGCUGCAAAAAUUCAGAAACUAACACAAAAAUGGGAUCCUGCAACUGUAAGUUCUCUCUGCAUCACAACAUAAACUAUGAGCUCCAGAAAAAAUAAAACAAAGAGGAUCCUACAGAAACUACGUGCUCCGGAAAUUCAGAAACACACAAAUGGGAUCCAGUGCACAAAUUUUCAGCAGAAGGGGAUCCAGUGCACAAAUUUGUAUCACAACAUAAACUAUGAGCUUCAGAAAAAUGAAACAAGGGGAUCCUACAGAAACUGCACGCCCCAAAAAUUCAGAAACACACCUACGAGUUUUCAGAACUAUGCGCUCCAUUGCACAAAUUUUCAGCAGCAUAAAAACUGAAAAAAAUGAUCCUGAAACUCGUUGUCGCGCUGUCGAACUUCCUACAACGCCGCCGAACUACCUACAACCGCUCUGCUCCUUGUCGCGCCAUCGUCUCCAUCAUGGUGACAUGCCAUUUAAUUUUUUUUUUUUGAGGAAAAUGAAUUAUGAAGGUAGCUAAAACUGACUAAACGGGACUUAUGGACGUCACUUAUUUGCCAUUUACAUCCCCACCGGUCCACCUCCUCCAAGCGAAUCGUUCGCCAACUAAGAGGGUCCUAUUUCAGUUACAUUUUGUUUCUUUGAACAGUUCCCUAGUAAAAAAAAUCAAACCAUCUGCAUCUAAAUUGCCAAGAUCUAGAGUUGAUUCUAAAAAAACCCUCCAAACUAGGUGAGAGCACGUCCGCUAAUUUGCAGCAGCAAAUAACUGAACUACCAUUUCAGCAACCUAACACAGAUAUCCAAUGCAACAAAUGAACAAGUUCGCUCGUUUAUGGUUCUAGCUCAGCCAGUAAAACCAGACGAACAAGAUGCUCCAAAUCAACAUUCCAGUUCAUCAGGACGGCAACAGAAUGCCUUCCAGUAGAACAGCAGCCGCAACAGAAUCACAUCAACAGUUGGGGAACACAAUCCAUCCGCACAAGGAAACCUACAAUUCUGACGUUGUUUCGUUCCUUCGGCCAAAUGCAUGCUCAAGAAAUCGAACAGGGAACCAAAAUCAAUCAGUGCAGGAAAAUACACGCUAAUUUUCGGCCGCCGCCCGUCUUCCGGAGCAUCUUGUUCGGGGGAGGGGGCCGGUUGCCCGAUCCAUACAUGUUGGCCACCGCCGAACCCGUCAUCGUCGUCGCCACCGCGGAGGAUAUGCGCCACCGCCCCUGCCGCCCAACGCCCUGCGCCGCCCGCCGCUGCCCUCCCGAAUCCAGCCGCGUAUCCCUAGCCCUCUCAGAGACAAGAGUCAAUAGUGCUGGUCAGUUGCAAGAAUAACUGUACUGAAACAAUGGCUCGGUUUCAGAAACGCACGCGCGUCACGCGGCGGGGAGGCUGUCGUCCGUCCGAUCAACAGGCGAUCCGACGGACGCGGAGCCGGCGGAUGCGGCGCGAGUGAUCGGUCGGGUGAAGGAGAGCUUUUCCCUAUUUUAAAUUCUAUAUUUUUUUUAAAAAAUGCAUUCUAGUAAAAAAGUGAACGGUGGCCCAGUCUAGCGCGACCAGUAAACCAGGGAACCGGGAGAGGAGAACUGGCGCGUCGUGAGCAAGCAUUCGCCUCGUUGUUGGGUGGGCCCAUGGAGCUGGGGCACGUGAGCGCUGGCUCCUUUACCUGCCGCUUAAGGCGGUGGCGAGGAGGUCUCGACGAUAUGUGUGAUAAUUAGUGAAAUACUUCUUUCGUCUGAAAAUACUUGUCAUUAAAAUGGAUAAAUAAAAUAUAUCUAAAACUAAAAUACGUCUAGAUAUAUCUCAUUUUGUUUAUUUUGAUGACAAGUAUUUUCGGACGAAUGGAGUAUUAUAUAGCAAGCACAUACAAAAUGGGCUCAUUCGAGUGUUAAAAAAAAUGGGCUGAUUAAAAGCAACUCCAAGAAGCCGACCUAUUUCGUCCGCUUGCGUCUAUUUGGGUCGGCGCGGACAAAAGUGGCGGCCCAACGCGCCGACCCAAACCCAAAUCACGUCCGCGUCGCGUCCGCGCCGACGCAUUUGCGGUUCAAAUUUGCGCCCCAAAUGCGUCGGCGCGGACGCCGAACGGACGCUUCGCGCGCCUUUUCGCUGUCCGUUGCGUCUUACAUGGCGGCCGUCCAACUACCCGCUGCCCACGCGGUCAGCUUAAUUUAUGACGACGGGCCCACGCGUCAGCGAUGGCGCUCGUCCUUUUUAAGCCGACCGUGUGGCGGGGCCGUCCUCAUCCAAACUCACCGUCCCCAUCUGCCCACCCUUGCUCCCUCGUCGCCGGCAAACCCUAGCCACCGCAACCACAGCGACGAUGGGCCUCUUCUCCGGCGCCAGCGGCAGCAAGGCCAAGGGCAAGUCCCCCGCCACCCCUUUCCCCUCCGAGUUUCUCCCACCCCGUCGGCGCCUCGCCGGCAGAGGCAGCGCGUCAACGUGCCAGUGCACCAGGCGGAAUGGCACUGGCAGAACCGCCAGCCGCUGCCAUAUCCCGACGUGACGCUGCCACACGACUGGCAUCUGGAUCUAGAUAGGAUCCCAGUGCCGGUGGCGCCGCGGUUGGCUCGUGCUCACGCGGAGGAGGUGCGGCGCCGGCGGGCGCUGCUGACGGCGAAGCAGCGCCGCGACUCCGCCUACGCAACCGACUUGCCCAACUGGGCGAGGUGGUUCGUCUUCGAGCACGAGGAGGCGAGGCGCCGGGGCGUGCGCGAGGUCGACCGGAGGCCAACGCCGCUGGUCGUCCGCGAGGAGGACCAGGCGGCGGAGGACGCCUACCAGGCGGCCCUUGCGGCCGUCUAUCGUGAGAGCGAAGAGGACGAACGGCGCAGAGCGGAGGCGGCGGAGGCGGAAGAGGAUGCCCACUACGAGGCGGCAAUGGCGCAGGCCCUUGCCCUCUCCGCGGCGGGCGACAGCGUGGUGCCGCCGGUGGCCCCGCCGUCCCCAUCAAGCCGGAGCCGCGGCCGCAGCCCGAGCCCAUUGCGUGCUUCUCCUGUAAUGGAGUGGUGCGCGAGUGGGUGUCCGCACCACCGAUCCGACUGGGGGCGACGCCGGCGCAGCAGCAGGCCUACCUCGAGAUGUGGCGCCAGUGCCGACUGGCAGAGGAGCGCCAGCAAGGCGAGUACGAGGAGAUGCUCGAGCACGACCUCGAGGAGGAGACGCGCGAGGCCGAAGAGGAGGCGCGCCAGGCCGCGGUUGCACAGGCGGCCGCACAGCCCCCCGCUCCGGCAUUGCCUGCGCCGGCACAACCCGACAUGGCAGCGCUCUGGAACACGGCGUUCGCCUGGGCCGGGCCGGCGCCGACGCUCAUCGACCUCAUGGACCCCGAGGACGACGACGAGGACGCCUAGGGCAGCGCACCGCCUCGUAGUUUAGGCUGUUUUUAUUUUUUUAAAUGCAAACAUGGACGCGUGGACUUUCACCGGCCUUCGUGGCCGGCUUUAAUGUUUAAUUAAUGUAGUUUCUCUUUUUUUAAAUAUGCAUGCGUUCAUUUUUUCUGGCGCCGUCUAAAUGGGUCGCAGGCCAGCGUUGGGCGCACGUACCGACGCAAAUGCGGAAGCGGGCAUCCGUGUCUGUCUAGCCGACCCAAAUGAACAAAAAGCGGACGAAAUCGACAUCCGUUUGGAUCGGCCCGUUGGAGUUGCUCUAGAAGAUGAUAAUGCAAGAGUUUGGGGUGACAGAUGGGUUCUGGUAAUUUUGACAAUAAACCAAUUUGUCGCUGGCCGGAUGCCACCGCCGUUAAUUAAAGUUUGUGACCUCUUGUAUCGCGACGGAGCAACACGGGACAUGAGGAGCAAAGGGUUUGGUCGAAGGAGAAAAACAUGGUGUUUUUUAUUCUGUGUUGAGUCUGAUCUCCUGCUGUCUGCACCUGCACCGCACACAUGGUGGUUCUGCUUCCUCUUCAGCACACAGUUCCUGAUACUUUGGGCAAAGGAUUCACGACGAGAAAUGCCCCAAACUUCAGCCCAAAGUUCAGGUAUUGGCAGUUCCCUCAUGCCUGGCUGUAACUUUGUAAAGAUUUCUACAGUGAUAGAGCCUGACCUAUCCUAAGAUAUGGAUUCCUGUAUGACACUCAAGAGCCCCAGUUCAGACCACACCUCCUUCUGUCAAGUCCUGGCAGGGGCAGCUCCAAACUCUUUGCCGCCAAUCCUAGUAUAAUCCUACUGUCGCAAUAUAGCGCUGGAAAAUCUUCAUUCUCGAAGAUACAACAAUUCUCUACUGCCCCUUCGUCCAAUCUUUCACGGGCUGAAUUUGAUAAUCAUUUCUUUACAUAAUCGCGGGCUGAAUUUGAUAAUCAUUUCUUUACAUAAUCGCAUUAUUAUUGACAGAUAAAUCACGAGCCGACGUACUAGAAGAUUUAUAUCUCAUUGCAAUGCAUGGGCAUUGCUUAUGGCCUCGUCAGAGCAGCAGCGGUAGAGUGUCAUGACCAACGUGCACUAAUAAUUAUUUGAAGUUAAGCUACUAACUACACCCGCUAUCCCAUAAUAUAAGACGUUAUUACAUCCAAUAUGUUAGUAUAUGGGAUGUAAUAAUGUCCUAUUUUAUGGGGCAAAGUAACAGCAGCGCAACUGGUGGCAACACACAAACAACGAACCAUGUGAGACUAAGGCAGAACAUCUGGAGAAAUUUUGUAAUUUGAAACAUAACGUAACAAACUCAAGACUUAGAUGAACAAUUCGCCACUCAGUUUACAAUACACACCGACAAACCGCCUCAAAAACCACCAAAUCAAGGGAUGAGCACAUGGCGCCGAGAAACAAACUAGCCUAGCCAACAAGUGGAUACGAGACCCAGAUUAUUCAAAGUAAACACGGCUAUGGUGGUGACAUCCUCCUUGCAAUUAAAAGGGGGGCUCUGCUAUACGAGCACGGCUUACUGCGCCUUGGCGAGCUCGGCACGGAUCUGCUUGGCGGCCUCAACCAUGUUGGUGAGGGCAGGCUUGACCUCGGCGUACUUGCGGGUCUUGAGACCGCAGUC
rnacentral:lncRNA from 1 species